GCAAGUCGAGCGCGGGAAGCGAGUGGAUCCCUUCGGGGUGAAGCUCGUGGAACGAGCGGCGGACGGGUGAGUAACACGUGGGCAACCUGCCUGUAAGACCGGAAUAACCCCGGGAAACCGGGGCUAAUGCCGGGUAAUACUUUUCUUCGCAUGAAGGAAAGUUGAAAGAUGGCUUCUUGCUAUCACUUACAGAUGGGCCCGCGGCGCAUUAGCUAGUUGGUGAGGUAACGGCUCACCAAGGCGACGAUGCGUAGCCGACCUGAGAGGGUGAUCGGCCACACUGGGACUGAGACACGGCCCAGACUCCUACGGGAGGCAGCAGUAGGGAAUCUUCCGCAAUGGACGAAAGUCUGACGGAGCAACGCCGCGUGAACGAUGAAGGUCUUCGGAUCGUAAAGUUCUGUUGUUAGGGAAGAACAAGUACCGUGCGAAUAGAGCGGUACCUUGACGGUACCUAACGAGGAAGCCCCGGCUAACUACGUGCCAGCAGCCGCGGUAAUACGUAGGGGGCAAGCGUUGUCCGGAAUUAUUGGGCGUAAAGCGCGCGCAGGCGGUUCCUUAAGUCUGAUGUGAAAGCCCACGGCUCAACCGUGGAGGGUCAUUGGAAACUGGGGAACUUGAGGACAGAAGAGGAGAGUGGAAUUCCACGUGUAGCGGUGAAAUGCGUAGAUAUGUGGAGGAACACCAGUGGCGAAGGCGACUCUCUGGUCUGUUUCUGACGCUGAGGUGCGAAAGCGUGGGUAGCAAACAGGAUUAGAUACCCUGGUAGUCCACGCCGUAAACGAUGAGUGCUAGGUGUUAGGGGGCUUCCACCCCUUAGUGCUGAAGUUAACGCAUUAAGCACUCCGCCUGGGGAGUACGGCCGCAAGGCUGAAACUCAAAGGAAUUGACGGGGGCCCGCACAAGCGGUGGAGCAUGUGGUUUAAUUCGAAGCAACGCGAAGAACCUUACCAGGUCUUGACAUCCUUGGACAACCCUAGAGAUAGGGCUUUCCCUUCGGGGACCAAGUGAC
rnacentral:rRNA from 1 species